rnacentral:sRNA from 1 species
CAGCUACAAGGGGGGGAGUGCCUAUGCC